rnacentral:pre_miRNA from 1 species
UCUUAUGGAUGAGCAAAGAAAGUGGUUUCUUGAAGUAGAAUCUACUCUUGGUGAAGAUGCUGUGAA